rnacentral:rRNA from 1 species
CGCGCGUUCCCAUUUUGUUGGUUUCUGAGAUCGCCGUAAUGAUUAAUAGGGAUAGUUGGGGGCAUUUGUAUUCCGUCGCCAGAGGUGAAAUUCUUGGAUUGCCGGAAGACAAACUACUGCGAAAGCAUUUGCCAAGGAUGUUUUCAUUGAUCAAGAACGAAGGAAGGGGGAUCGAAAACGAUUAGAUACCGUUGUAGUCUCUUCUGUAAACUAUGCCAAUUGGGGAUCGGCACAGGAUUUUUAAUGACUGUGUUGGCACCCGAAGAGAAAUCUUUAAAUGAGGUUCGGGGGGGAGUAUGGUCGCAAGGCUGAAACUUAAAGGAAUUGACGGAAGGGCACCACCAGGUGUGGAGCCUGCGGCUUAAUUUGACUCAACACGGGGAAACUCACCAGGUCCAGACACAAUAAGGAUUGACAGAUUGAUAGCUCUUUCUUGAUCUUGUGGUUGGUGGUGCAUGGCCGUUCUUAGUUGGUGGAGUGAUUUGUCUGGUUAAUUCCGAUAACGAACGAGACCUUAACCUGCUAAAUAGACCAGCCGGCUUUGGCUAGCUGCUGUCUUCUUAGAGGGACUAUCAGCGUUUAGCUGAUGGAAGUUUGAGGCAAUACCAGGUCUGUGAUGCCCUUA